GACGGAGGGGGCAAGCGUUGUUCGGAAUUAUUGGGCGUAAAGGGCUCGUAGGCGGAUUUGUAAGUCAGGGGUGAAAUCCCGGGGCUCAACCUCGGAACUGCCUUUGAUACUGCGAAUCUUGAGUCCGAUAGAGGUGGGUGGAAUUCCUAGUGUAGAGGUGAAAUUCGUAGAUAUUAGGAAGAACACCGGUGGCGAAGGCGGCCCACUGGAUCGGUACUGACGCUGAGGUGCGAAAGCGUGGGGAGCAAACAGG
rnacentral:rRNA from 1 species